rnacentral:rRNA from 1 species
AGGUUGGGGUGACCUCGGAGUACAAAACAACCUCCGAAUGAUUUCUAAUCAAGACUAACCAGUCAAAAGUAUUACAUCAUUAAUUGAUCCAAAACUAUUUGAUCAACGGAACAAGUUACCCUAGGGAUAACAGCGC